AUUGAACGCUGGCGGCAGGCCUAACACAUGCAAGUCGAGCGGUUGAAGGGAGCUUGCUCCCUGAUUCAGCGGCGGACGGGUGAGUAAUGCCUAGGAAUCUGCCUAUUAGGGGGUGACAACCUUUCGAAGGGAACGCUAAUACCGCAUACGUCCUACGGGAGAAAGCAGGGGACCUUCGGCCCUGGCGCUAAGAGAUGAGCCUAGGUCGGAUUAGCUUGUUGGUGAGGUAAUGGCUCACCAAGGGGACGAUCCUGAACUGUUCGGAUAGGAUGAUAAGUCACACUGGAACGGAGACACGUUCAAGAAUCCGAGGGGAGGGAGAAGUAGGGAAUAUUGGACAAUGGGCGAAAGCCUGAUCCAGCAAUGCCGCGUGUGUGAAGAAGGUCUUCGGAUUGUAAAGCACUUUUAGUUGGGAGGAAGGGUUGUAGAUUAAUACUCUGAAAUUUUGACGUUACCGACAGAAUAAGCACCGGCUAACUCUGUGCCAGCCGCCGCCGUAAAAC
rnacentral:rRNA from 1 species